CACGUAGGGCGCAAGCGUUGUCCGGAAUUAUUGGGCGUAAAGAGCUCGUAGGUGGCUUGUCGCGUCUGCCGUGAAAGCCCGUGGCUUAACUACGGGUCUGCGGUGGAUACGGGCAGGCUAGAGGCUGGUAGGGGCAAGCGGAAUUCCUGGUGUAGUGGUGAAAUGCGCAGAUAUCAGGAGGAACACCGGUGGCGAAGGCGGCUUGCUGGGCCAGUUCUGACGCUGAGGAGCGAAAGCGUGGGGAGCGAACAGG
rnacentral:rRNA from 1 species